rnacentral:tRNA from 2 species
GGGCGAUUAGCUCAGCUGGCUAGAGCGCUGCCUUCACACGGCAGAGGUCACAAGUUCAAGUCUUGUAUCGCCCA